UACGAGUUUGAUCCUGGCUCAGGACGAACGCUGGCGGCGUGCCUAACACAUGCAAGUCGAACGGAAUCCAUGGAGUGCUUGCACUCUUGAAGAUUUAGUGGCGAACGGGUGAGUAACACGUGAGAAACCUGCCCCAGACUCUGGGAUAACCCAAGGAAACUGAGCUAAUACCGGAUAUUCUCCUUUGGUCGCAUGGCCAGUUGAGGAAAGUUUUUCGGUCUGGGAGGGUCUCGCGGCCUAUCAGCUUGUUGGUGAGGUAACGGCUCACCAAGGCGACGACGGGUAGCUGGUUUGAGAGAACGAUCAGCCACACUGGAACUGAGACACGGUCCAGACUCCUACGGGAGGCAGCAGUGGGGAAUCUUGCGCAAUGGGCGAAAGCCUGACGCAGCAACGCCGCGUGCGGGAUGAAGGCCCUCGGGUUGUAAACCGCUUUCAGCAGGGACGAAAAUGACGGUACCUGCAGAAGAAGCCCCGGCUAACUACGUG
rnacentral:rRNA from 1 species